UCAAUAUAUGGCUGGAGGGAGCCGGAGUCAGUGUUUAGCAGUAGUGAAGAGUACCGCUGUAGAAACAGCUGAGUCAUCUUUACGCUGAGGCAGGAUAGCAUAAUGUUUGGCAAAGGUAUGGUCUGAAGACCAUGUUGCUGUCCGGUAAAUGUCUCUUAAGGGGACAUUGUUCAAAAAGGCUGUAGAAGCAGCCGUAGCUCGAGUGGAAUGUGCUUGUGGCACUUGACUAUGCUUGUUGAGAUCCACUUAGAGAUUCGUUGUGAUGAUAUGGGUGUUCCUUUGGAGUGCUCGGCGAUGGAGAUAAAAAGUCUUUCAGAUUUACGAAAUGGUUUUGUUCUUUCUAGGAAGAAAGCUAGAGCCCUCCGGAAGUCCAGAGUAUGCAGGCUGGCAUCCUUCUGUGAAGCGUGCGGUUUUGGGAAAAAGAAGGUUUAACUGUAAUGGAGAACUGCACCGUGACUGGAACAAAGGAGGUGAGGCCUGAUCUUGAGGACCAAGAAACUGUGGCAUGGAGGAAUGGGAUGCAUCAUUUUGUGAUUCCAUGGCAGGAGUGAUCUACUCCAAAAAUACCAUUUCUUUGCCCACGAGUACCUGGAACACAGUGGGGAAAAUAUUACAUGAAACUGAAAAAUAUCCCAAGUCAUUCUCAGAAGCUGCUGAAAAUUGUGUCUUUUGUUCUAUUCCAACAGAAUGGAACUGAACAGGCAGGGCUCAGCUUCACUCUCCCACCUCUGGUGCAGAGAUUUGCAGAAGCAGCUAUAUUAUCACAAUUGCAAAGUAAGGAAAAUCAAGAGAAGGAAAAACAGUUUUAUAUAUAAUUUUGUGCCCAAAUAUAGUCCCUUUGCUCCUUUGGCCAACAGUGACUUCAGUUUGUGAGGACCCCUAGAACUCUCUCACAGCAACUACAGUAAGAGGCAAUUCUAGCUCACUUUGUUUUAGAGAAUCACUAUUAGAAAGGAAGCUGAAAACUCUCAAGCAAACAAGCAAAAGAGAUGCAAACAGAAGAGGAGAUAAAUCCACAACAAAAGAUAUACUAAAACCAGAAAUUUUUCUGUUUUUGUUUUGAGGAAAAGCGUACAAUGGGAAAUAAACCUAUGCAGAAGAACAGGUCGCUUAAUUUUACACGGAAGACUAGUUUGUUUUUUAAAAAAGGAAUGUGUGUCAUAAGUGUCAAACAUUUGAAAAAUCUCCAUUCACCUGGUGCACACUUGCCAGAAGGAAGGGAAAUUUUUUUCUCUAUUAUCAAUGGUGUUUAACUCUUGCUGUGGAUUGUAUAUACUGUGUGUGUGUUAACGGCCACCAUGGAACACAUGCCAUAAUUAAAAAUGAAAUUCUGCCCUCUCAGCUGAUUUUAACUCAUCACCAUCAAACUCAGGUUAAGUGAAUACAUUAGUUCCUUACAGCAUAAUAUGAGGAUCUUUCAUUAUUAUUUUAAUUUAUCACUGUCACUCAAUUACUUAUAAGUGAAUUUAUCCAUCAGUUCUAAAAUGUGGCAGAAGGCUGCCCCUUUGUUUUUCAUACAGGUUGGACCUCUCUUCUCCGGCACCCUGGACCUGGAUGGAGGAAUUUGCCGGACAAGGGGAGGUCCCCUGAUACCAUCCCCUCAGCCUGCUGCCCCCUCCCCGCUGCCAGCUUCUUCAGCGCAGUUGGGCUGUCUGCAGAUCUGCCCCAGCUCCACUCCCGGGCACAUGUAGACCCACUGCCGAAUGGCAGGUUGUUUGAUCGGCCUGUCGCAGCCUCAGCCUCGCUGCUAUGUGACCCUGGCUGUGCUGAUUCUGCCAGGCUGCUGGAGCCAGCUUCCUUUCCCAGGCUGCAACCCUGGCCCUAAUGCCUGACAGCAGGCAGCCCCAAUCAUGCUACUGCCGCUACUGCCCAGGCUGCUGGGGUCCCACUGCUAGUAGACUGGCAGGGUUGCACCGGACUCCCAAGCUGCUGGCCCUCCUGCCCCGGUGCUCUCUCAUGCAGGAAUAUCCAUGGUUAUGCUGGACCACACAUUGCCAGACGAGAGAAUCCCAGAUUUGGGAGGUGCAACCUGUACUGAAGUAAAAUGCACUAGAGUGCACAAUUUCUAGGCAUUCACAUCCUGCCAUAAAGAGAUAACAGAAUUUAUAUCUUUUUAAAAUAUUGAUCAUACAUUCUGAAGUACUGAAAAGCAAUUCUACACAUAUACAUUUAAAUAUUUUUAUGGAUUUAAUUCUUAAUUGUUAACCUUUGAACAAGAAAUUCAUUAAUGAAAUGUUUCACCAUUUUUCAUGGCAACUUGCAUAGUAGUACAGCAGACUCUUGGAGUUACAAACACCAGAGUUACAAACAGGCGUUAACCACUAGGGAUGUGAACGUGUACCAUGCACAUGGUUAAACGAUGCACCUGGGCGCGUAACUAUAUAACUGCUGAAUUUUUCAGCAGUUACACCUAAAUAAAUGCUUUAGUAUUGCUAAAUAAAUGUUUUAGUAUUCCUAUUAACCACGAGUCAUUUGGAAAUGAAAGCAUGCAAUCAGGAAGCAGCAGAAACAAAAAAAGCAAAUACAAGUACAGUGUUGUGUGCAACAUAAGCUACUAAAAAUAAAAGGAACACUUAAAAAGAUUUGAUAAGGUAAGGAAACAGUUUCUGUGCUUGUUUAAUUAAAAUUAAGAUGGUUAAAAGCAGCUUUUUUCUUCGGCCAAGUAAUAUCUCAAAGCUGCAUUAAGUCAAUGCUCAGUUGUAAAUCACAUCCUUACUAUUUGUGGCAGAAGGAAGGAGGAUGUGCUCUACCCUUUGUGUGCCUUCUUAAAUCUCUCCAGAUAGGGGAUCAAAAUCAAAGUCACAAAUCUGAAGACAUUAAGGGAAAAAUACUCCUGCAGUCCCACUAAGGGGAUGUAUUUGGCAAGUUUAAAGUGCUUCAGUAGUCUAGCGCCAACUCUGGGGGUAUGGGGAAAUUGCUCUACAACAGACCUCAGAGGCCCAGCACUCUCCUCUGGGUCAGGGUUCAGUCUACCAUUUCAGAUGCGACUCCUGUAGUCUGCUGCUUAGGGAAAUCCUGCUUUCCCUCCCCGCUAGGUGACUGCAGUUUAAAGGCUUUCUCAUCAUGAGUGACUGACGGGGCAGGAGAGGUGGGGUUAGUCUCAUCUGUGGAGUCCUCUGAGGAUACAAAUGUUUACCUGUGGAUGUAGAUGGACACUGGGAUCCUCUGAUCCACAGGGUUCUAUUUCCAAGACACACAGAGGUAAACAGAGAGGAAUGGUCCUGUUGCUCCUAAGAGCCAGAAUCCUAUGCUGGCAGUCUAGCUGUACCACCCUCAGACCCAGCCUCUCCUUUCUGGAGUUGUAGUGCGCUGCUGGCAGUGGGGCUGGGAGGUACAACUGCACUAUGGGGAUGAGCUGCCGGUGCAGGGCACUGGCUCUUGGGAAUAACAGGACCAUGUUCUUCUUCCUUGCAGCCAGUGUCUCUUGCGUGGGGUGGCAGCAGUUAUGUCCAGGGGUGGGGGUGGGGUUGGGUCUGAGCUCCUGGACCCAGAGCAAGCCAGGACUGAGCCAGGAUACCUGCCCGCCUGGCUCCUAAUACACUUUAAAUGCAGAGCUACAGCAGGAGUAGGUCCCAGAUCCGAUGCAAGCUGGGUCUAAUUUAUGCUGCUGGUCAGCUGGCAAAAAAUGUACUGGCAAGGGAGGGGAAAGAAAAUGUGUUUAGUCUGUAGCA